GAAUUGUGGUGUGAUCUGGCUGUGACAUCUGUCACCCCAUUGAUUGCCAGGAUUGAUUUGGCUGGCUAGGAGGGUGUCCGCUUCCUCCCUCAAAGCUUCAUGUGUGUCCCUCCUGAAGCUGUGCAUUUGAGAGGAUGGCCAUCCCAGGUAGAAGGUGUGUACCACUCUUUGGUCAAGGAUACACGAUAGCUGCACUCCCCUGCUAGAACCUCCAAACAGGCUUUGUAAUAUACUUACAGUAUAUCCCACCAUGUGGCCCAAUGGACCUCCUU